CAGAUAGCGGCGGCGAGCCGCCCGCUUCUGUGGAAAAAGACUAUUUUAAGUGUCAUAAUUAAGUUUAGAAGCCUUGUUUGGGCUCAUUCACUGCUCGAAAUAAAAAGGACUGGCUGCUUUUAGACCCUUUCUGAAGGGGUUGGCUAAGCGCCUCUGCACGUUCGCUUGGAGAAGAAUGUUUUCUUUUCUAGUUUAAUAUUAGAAACUAUAUUUUUACUUGUUUAAACCGGAUUUGAUUAUUCCUGUGGAGAUUUUUUUCUCUCUCCCCCCCCUCCCUAUCGCUCAAAUCUUUGUUCAUUGUUCAUUGACGGUGGAAGGCUGCUUAAAUGUACGGAGAGAGGGGGGGAGGCCCCCUCGGUGGUUUGAUGUUGAAAUAGUAAACCUGAAUGAGGAGGGUGGCUGGAAAAGUGGACAUUGCAGCUUUAAUUAACUUCAAGAUGCUUCAGCGAGGACCAGAGCGUAGUAGUGACGUUGCCUCAUAAAUCUGUCCAGUACAGUGCGUUGCAUUGAACUAUUACAGUAUCACCAUCAUAUUGAAUAUUCACUACCUAUCCGGGAGCAGAUUUGCAUAAUUGGAUCUUCUUUAAAUGAAACUUGUUUGCAAAAACCCAAACAAAACCAAAAAAACAAAAGCCCAAGUGAAAACUGCGGCGAUCUGCAUGAUUAUAAAGGGUUCAAACAUAUCCGAAAAGUUUUAUUUUUCCAGUUGUGACCUUCAGUUCCUAUCCUGUGUCUUUUAAGAAUUUCCUAAUCCAGGGAACAGAUUCGUUGGCUUAAGAAUAACUGCAAAGGGUCUACAAGAGUGUUCAUCACCUGUUGAUUAAAGAAUUAAAUCUCACCACACUCCAGCCAGGUAAGUUCUAUCAGCCCUGCAGCUCCGAGUAUCUGUGCUUUGGGAAGGCGGGUGACUUUCUAAACAGUGGUCACUGGCAGAGCUGUCCAGGGCAUGUUUUAGAACAGAUGCCAGAUCUUCCUCAG
rnacentral:lncRNA from 1 species